rnacentral:rRNA from 1 species
AUGAACGCUAGCUACAGGCUUAACACAUGCAAGUCGCGGGGCAGCAUGAAGUCAGCUUGCUGACUUUGAUGGCGACCGGCGCACGGGUGAGUAACGCGUAUCCAACCUGCCUGUUACCACGGCACAGCCCGUCGAAAGGCGGAUUAAUGCCGUAUGUGGUCUUGAAAGGGCAUCUGAUCAUGACUAAAGGUUCAGCGGUAACGGAUGGGGAUGCGUCCGAUUAGCUAGACGGCGGGGUAACGGCCCACCGUGGCUACGAUCGGUAGGGGUUCUGAGAGGAAGGUCCCCCACACUGGAACUGAGACACGGUCCAGACUCCUACGGGAGGCAGCAGUGAGGAAUAUUGGUCAAUGGGCGUAAGCCUGAACCAGCCAAGUAGCGUGAGGGAAGACUGCCCUAUGGGUUGUAAACCUCUUUUGUGCGGGGAUAAAGUGUGGGACGUGUCCCAUAUUGCAGGUACCGCACGAAUAAGGACCGGCUAAUUCCGUGCCAGCAGCCGCGGUAAUACGGAAGGUCCGGGCGUUAUCCGGAUUUAUUGGGUUUAAAGGGAGCGCAGGCCGUCCUUUAAGCGUGCUGUGAAAUGCCGCGGCUCAACCGUGGCACUGCAGCGCGAACUGGAGGACUUGAGUACGCACGAGGUAGGCGGAAUUCGUGGUGUAGCGGUGAAAUGCUUAGAUAUCACGAAGAACUCCGAUUGCGAAGGCAGCUUACCGGAGCGCAACUGACGCUGAGGCUCGAAAGCGCGGGUAUCGAACAGGAUUAGAUACCCUGGUAGUCCACGCCGUAAACGAUGAUUACUAGGUGUUGGGAAGCAUUGCUUCUCGGUGCCGUCGCAAACGCAGAAAGUAUUCCACCUGGGGAGUACGGCCGCAAGGUUGAAACUCAAAGGAAUUGACGGGGGCCCGCACAAGCGGAGGAACAUGUGGUUUAAUUCGAUGAUACGCGAGGAACCUUACCCGGGCUUGAAUUGCAGGAGAACGAUCCAGAGAUGGUGAGGCCCUUCGGGGCUCCUGUGAAGGUGCUGCAUGGUUGUCGUCAGCUCGUGCCGUGAGGUGUCGGCUCAAGUGCCAUAACGAGCGCAACCCCUGUCCAUAGUUGCCAUCAGGUUAUGCUGGGCACUCUGUGGAGACUGCCGCCGUAAGGUGUGAGGAAGGUGGGGAUGACGUCAAAUCAGCACGGCCCUUACGUCCGGGGCUACACACGUGUUACAAUGGGGCAUACAGCGAGUUGGAUGUGCGCAAGUACGUCCGGAUCAAUAAAGUGCCUCUCAGUUCGGACUGGGGUCUGCAACCCGACCCCACGAAGCUGGAUUCGCUAGUAAUCGCGCAUCAGCCAUGGCGCGGUGAAUACGUUCCCGGGCCUUGUACACACCGCCCGUCAAGCCAUGAAAGCCGGGGGCGCCUGAAGUCCGUGACCGCGAGGGUCGGCCUAGGGUGAAACCGGUGAUUGGGGCU